CUUAACAAACUGUCUGACAACAAUGUCAUUAAUCCAGGAAAGGAAAAUAUGGCCAGACUUGUGUUUCGCCUCUCCAAAAUGGUUCAUUAUCAGCAAAUGUUGCUAGACAGGUUCCAGUUGUUCUACUGAUGUCUGAUAUUUUAAAGGGGGAUGUUAACUUUCCUGCAUUACUGCGAUUCUCUAAAGUUGUUAGUCUUUUCCAUGAAUUUGGCCAUAUGUCAUUGGCUCGCAUGAACAAGAAGGACUCGUGGCUGUUUUGGUGGAGCCUUUAUCUUACCGUGAGUGAAGUUACUUUUUUUUCCUUUUCCGUCUCCUUUAAAAACCAUGUACUCCCUCCUUGCACAUAAGUAACACUUAUACUUUAGGGCAUUGUAAAUUAGCUGUCACGUGGUACUUUCUUAAAUAUAACUUUCGGUUCCUGAAUUUCUGUGAGGUCUUGUUUUGGUACUAUAUAUUAUGUUACAAGCUGGAUGAA